CCUCCUGCCUCGGCCUCCCAGAGUGCUAGGAUUACAGGCACGCACAGCUACAAAGGAAACUGAUACUGGGAUGUUGUAUCAGACUGGAAUCCAUGAAUGGAAUUGCCUUCAGUCAUGUGAUUUUCCAAAGCGAUGGGAUCUUGCU